rnacentral:rRNA from 1 species
GGGUUGUGAGGUUAAGCGACUAAGCGUACACGGUGGAUGCCCUGGCAGUCAGAGGCGAUGAAGGGCGUGCUAAUCUGCGAUAAGCGCCGGUAAGGUGAUAUGAACCGUUAUAACCGGCGAUACCCGAAUGGGGAAACCCAGUGUGAUUCGUCACACUAUCAUUAACUGAAUCCAUAGGUUAAUGAGGCGAACCGGGGGAACUGAAACAUCUAAGUACCCCGAGGAAAAGAAAUCAACCGAGAUUCCCCCAGUAGCGGCGAGCGAACGGGGAGGAGCCCAGAGCCUGAAUCAGCAUGUGUGUUAGUGGAAGCGUCUGGAAAGGCGCGCGAUACAGGGUGACAGCCCCGUACACAAAAGCGCAUGUGCUGUGAGCUCGAUGAGUAGGGCGGGACACGUGGUAUCCUGUCUGAAUAUGGGGGGACCAUCCUCCAAGGCUAAAUACUCCUGACUGACCGAUAGUGAACCAGUACCGUGAGGGAAAGGCGAAAAGAACCCCGGCGAGGGGAGUGAAAAAGAACCUGAAACCGUGUACGUACAAGCAGUGGGAGCACCCUUCGGGGUGUGACUGCGUACCUUUUGUAUAAUGGGUCAGCGACUUAUAUUCUGUAGCAAGGUUAACCGUAUAGGGGAGCCGGAGGGAAACCGAGUCUUAACCGGGCGUUAAGUUGCAGGGUAUAGACCCGAAACCCGGUGAUCUAGCCAUGGGCAGGUUGAAGGUUGGGUAACACUAACUGGAGGACCGAACCGACUAAUGUUGAAAAAUUAGCGGAUGACCUGUGGCUGGGGGUGAAAGGCCAAUCAAACCGGGAGAUAGCUGGUUCUCCCCGAAAGCUAUUUAGGUAGCGCCUCGUGAAUUCAUCUCCGGGGGUAGAGCACUGUUUCGGCUAGGGGGCCAUCCCGGCUUACCAACCCGAUGCAAACUGCGAAUACCGGAGAAUGUUAUCACGGGAGACACACGGCGGGUGCUAACGUCCGUCGUGAAGAGGGAAACAACCCAGACCGCCAGCUAAGGUCCCAAAGUCAUGGUUAAGUGGGAAACGAUGUGGGAAGGCCCAGACAGCCAGGAUGUUGGCUUAGAAGCAGCCAUCAUUUAAAGAAAGCGUAAUAGCUCACUGGUCGAGUCGGCCUGCGCGGAAGAUGUAACGGGGCUAAACCAUGCACCGAAGCUGCGGCAGCGAACGUAUCACCCAAGACAACUUUACGGAGUUGACGAUUGACGGAGCGAAGCGACGUCAAAGCGUUCAUUAAAGUCGAGUUGGCUUAGGGAUACGUUCGUUGGGUAGGGGAGCGUUCUGUAAGCCUGUGAAGGUGUGUCGUGAGGCAUGCUGGAGGUAUCAGAAGUGCGAAUGCUGACAUAAGUAACGAUAAAGCGGGUGAAAAGCCCGCUCGCCGGAAGACCAAGGGUUCCUGUCCAACGUUAAUCGGGGCAGGGUGAGUCGACCCCUAAGGCGAGGCCGAAAGGCGUAGUCGAUGGGAAACGGGUUAAUAUUCCCGUACUUGGUGUUACUGCGAAGGGGGGACGGAGAAGGCUAUGUUGGCCGGGCGACGGUUGUCCCGGUUUAAGCGUGUAGGUGUGUGUUCCAGGUAAAUCCGGUUCACUUUAACACUGAGGCGUGACGACGAGGCACUACGGUGCUGAAGCAACAAAUGCCCUGCUUCCAGGAAAAGCCUCUAAGCAUCAGGUAACAUCAAAUCGUACCCCAAACCGACACAGGUGGUCAGGUAGAGAAUACCAAGGCGCUUGAGAGAACUCGGGUGAAGGAACUAGGCAAAAUGGUGCCGUAACUUCGGGAGAAGGCACGCUGACACGUAGGUGAAGUGAUUUACUCAUGGAGCUGAAGUCAGUCGAAGAUACCAGCUGGCUGCAACUGUUUAUUAAAAACACAGCACUGUGCAAACACGAAAGUGGACGUAUACGGUGUGACGCCUGCCCGGUGCCGGAAGGUUAAUUGAUGGGGUCAGCGUAAGCGAAGCUCCUGAUCGAAGCCCCGGUAAACGGCGGCCGUAACUAUAACGGUCCUAAGGUAGCGAAAUUCCUUGUCGGGUAAGUUCCGACCUGCACGAAUGGCGUAAUGAUGGCCAGGCUGUCUCCACCCGAGACUCAGUGAAAUUGAACUCGCUGUGAAGAUGCAGUGUACCCGCGGCAAGACGGAAAGACCCCGUGAACCUUUACUAUAGCUUGACACUGAACAUUGAGCCUUGAUGUGUAGGAUAGGUGGGAGGCUUUGAAGUGUGGACGCCAGUCUGCAUGGAGCCGACCUUGAAAUACCACCCUUUAAUGUUUGAUGUUCUAACGUGGACCCGUAAUCCGGGUUGCGGACAGUGUCUGGUGGGUAGUUUGACUGGGGCGGUCUCCUCCUAAAGAGUAACGGAGGAGCACGAAGGUUGGCUAAUCCUGGUCGGACAUCAGGAGGUUAGUGCAAUGGCAUAAGCCAGCUUGACUGCGAGCGUGACGGCGCGAGCAGGUGCGAAAGCAGGUCAUAGUGAUCCGGUGGUUCUGAAUGGAAGGGCCAUCGCUCAACGGAUAAAAGGUACUCCGGGGAUAACAGGCUGAUACCGCCCAAGAGUUCAUAUCGACGGCGGUGUUUGGCACCUCGAUGUCGGCUCAUCACAUCCUGGGGCUGAAGUAGGUCCCAAGGGUAUGGCUGUUCGCCAUUUAAAGUGGUACGCGAGCUGGGUUUAGAACGUCGUGAGACAGUUCGGUCCCUAUCUGCCGUGGGCGCUGGAGAACUGAGGGGGGCUGCUCCUAGUACGAGAGGACCGGAGUGGACGCAUCACUGGUGUUCGGGUUGUCAUGCCAAUGGCACUGCCCGGUAGCUAAAUGCGGAAGAGAUAAGUGCUGAAAGCAUCUAAGCACGAAACUUGCCCCGAGAUGAGUUCUCCCUGAGACUUAGAGUCUCCUGAAGGAACGUUGAAGACGACGACGUUGAUAGGCCGGGUGUGUAAGCGCAGCGAUGCGUUGAGCUAACCGGUACUAAUGAACCGUGAGGCUUAACCUUACA